UUCUAUAAAUAGGCGAGGACAGGUAUGUGUAAGCACUAGAACCUUUAUUCAGAUUUAGAUUUGUUAUAGCACCCCGAAAUGUGGAGAUUGUUUUCUAUUUGCGGGAAGAUGCGACUUCUUAACUGCCUUUGUUCUUGCAAAGCGAGUAUACAUUUACGAGUGCGCGAAAAUUACCACGAUUUUGUAAUAUAUAGCCAUGGUAUUAAAUCGGUAACAGACAAAUAAAAUCGAGACAACAAGCGCCGCGAAUUUCUGCAUAUCUGUUUGAGAUUCAAUUCAACGAACAUACACUGUUUUAUUAGUACGCCUGGUGCAUGGUUGCAUGCCGAAUAAGCUCUGGAGAAAACAUACAAUGCACAGCGGUCUGACACAUUACAUUACACCGUAUAAACUGGAAUAUAGGUCGGCCCCCGAAAACAGUUCAUACCUACCCCCGAUUGAGUAGCUAUUGAAUGACGCGCUAUUGCGAGGGUAGGUAACAACAACAGAUGUCUGCAUCGGAGGAAUAAGCAGUAAAUGGAACGUUUAUUGAAAUCUUAUGAGGAAGCUUAGGUCUUUCUUCGACAUCCAGGGAACACAAAAGGUGUGAAGUGUGUGUAUGGCAGUGUUACAAGGCGCCUAUACAGAAAUAGCUUGCA